AACGAACGCUGGCGGCAUGCCUAACACAUGCAAGUCGAACGAGACCUUCGGGUCUAGUGGCGCACGGGUGCGUAACGCGUGGGAACCUGCCCUUAGGUUCGGCAUAACUCCCCGAAAGGGGUGCUAAUACCGGAUAAUGUCUUCGGACCAAAGAUUUAUCGCCUUUGGAUGGGCCCGCGUUGGAUUAGCUAGUUGGUAGGGUAAAAGCCUACCAAGGCGACGAUCCAUAGCUGGUCUGAGAGGAUGAUCAGCCACACUGGGACUGAGACACGGCCCAGACUCCUACGGGAGGCAGCAGUGGGGAAUAUUGGACAAUGGGCGAAAGCCUGAUCCAGCAAUGCCGCGUGAGUGAUGAAGGCCGUAGGGUUGUAAAGCGCGUUUACCCGGGAGGAUAAUGACAGUACCGGGAGAAUAAGCUCCGGCUAACUCCGUG
rnacentral:rRNA from 1 species